GGCUACCGACCUGGGCGAGCGGGGGGGCUGCUGGGCUAGCGACCUGGGCCUGCCCACCCUGCCAGGAACAAUUGCUGCCCAGGAUCCCAGCCAGCCCUGCCCUCUGGCAGUGGGAGCCAUUCCCUGGCUCCUGGCACUUUUAUGACUAGCACGAAUCUUUUCGCGGCUGUCCCCCUGUCCGGGCUGGCCCUGACCGUGUCCGUGUGUCUGUCCGCAGGGAGAUCCUGCAGGAGAUCCAGCGGCUGCGGCUGGAGCACGAGCAAGCCUCGCAGCCCACCCCCGAGAAGGCUCAGCACAACCCCACGCUGCUGGCCGAGCUGCGCCUGCUGCGGCAGAGGAAGGAUGAGCUGGAGCAGAGGAUGUCAGCCCUGCAGGAGAGCAGAAGAGAGCUGA
rnacentral:lncRNA from 12 species